rnacentral:lncRNA from 1 species
GCUUUUUUCUGCAAAUUGAAGGACCAUUCUGUGACCAUGUAAAUGCACUCAUACACUGGUUGAAUUCUUACUGCCUUGCUUGUCACUCCAUAAAUCCUGCAAAACAGUGCCACAACUGUGAAGUUGAGUCUAUCCAGUUUCAGAUAUCCAUGGUUUGUGUUUUGCAGCAGGCGGAUUUCGGGUGAUUAAUAUCUGGAGUUUCUUCAUCUUCAUGAUAGAAAGUUGCUCUGUCCUGACUUUGUUCUCUUGCAUUGCAGAAUUUGGGCACAGGGUGUCUGAAAUGGCAAAUUUCAAUCUGUUCAUGAGAAACACCAGGGAUUUAACUGGCCUUUUAUUCUUCACCUAGAGAAAACCUGGACCUGUUCUGCUGGAGUGCAAACACCCAUUAGCAGCUGUAACUCAAGACCUAGUCUGGAUUUUACCCUCCCAGAUCUCAAUGGGUUGCUGAUUAAACAAAUGGAACAGUAUACUGUAGAAAAAAUAGAAAUACGUGGAGAAAGAGAAGAUUGCAGAAGCAACUUGUCGCAGAACGACAGUUUUCACCAUCUGUUUAUCAAUUUUCAAACUGAAAUGGAACACAUGAAGUACAUAUGAAAGAGGAGAGAGGUUCUUUGUGGGAGGUGCUACUGAACUUACUCAACAGCAGCCUUUCAAAUACAGUCUUCUUACUUUUCAUCCUGAGCUUUAGAAGGUAAACAUUUGGGUUUACAGAUCUACAGCCAGCGUUUUAGGAGUGUAUGAUACUGCAGUAUUUCUUCUGCUUAUCAGCUCAACCUGGAGGAAUAGUUGGACUUUUUAAAUUACUGUCUUCACUGCACUCAGCUUCUGGACACUGAUGUAUUUUUGCCUUUGUUUCUAAGAAUCAUCCAGUCUCUUAAAUGCUUUUACAAAUUAAGCUUGAAUGCAAGCUUUCACCACUAUCUGAAGUGCAACUUAUUAUUUCUGAUGAUCCUUCCUCCUUUUGAAAUGCCACUCAACAUAUCUUUACUGGAACCAUUAAAUAUAACUCAACCAAAUAAAUAAAUAAGAAGACUAUUUCUGGCA